rnacentral:rRNA from 1 species
UACGGAGGGUGCGAGCGUUAAUCGGAAUAACUGGGCGUAAAGGGCACGCAGGCGGGCUUUUAAGUGAGGUGUGAAAUCCCCGGGCUUAACUUGGGAAUUGCAUCUGAAACUGGUUGGCUAGAGUCUUGUAGAGGGGGGUAGAAUUCCGCGUGUAGCGGUGAAAUGCGUAGAGAUGUGGAGGAAUACCGAAGGCGAAGGCAGCCCCUUGGGAAUGUACUGACGCUCAUGUGCGAAAGCGUGGGGAGCAAACAGG